ACCCCGGUGCGGCCCCCGCCUGCCCGCGCGCGCACACACUCGGGCCCCCCGCGGCCGGACCCACGGGGGCGGUGCGCGAACCCCGCGGCCGGAGGGGGCCCCGCCUCUAGGCGGGCCAGGCGCCGGCAGAGGGGGAGCGCACCCCGACUUCCCUGGAUCACAUGGGCUGCAGGGGGCGGGUGGAUCGGGGGAGGGGGAGGCGCGGGGAGCUUGCCGCCGCUCCUCGCUCGGGCAGGGGAGAAGACGCCCCCCACCCCCUCUAGUUCGGCCUCUCCAUUCAAGUUCGCCGGCCCCGGCGUCCGGGAUCCGGGGAUGGCACUAGCAGCCUGCCCAGCUCUGCGCCCUUUUUUUCCAGCCGCCGCGCAGAAAUUUAGGUCAAGGACGUCGGGAUCAAACCCAAACCCUGGCGCUCCUCGGCGGGCCCCGAGACCCCCCAGGAUCGGGGAGCUUCAGGAUUGCGGAGACCCUCCCGCACAAACAGCAGCCACAAGUUUUAUUUUCCUUUGGCGCUGGAAGUUCUCUCUGGCUCUCGCUCCACACCGGCACGUCUUGCGCCGCUCCCCGCCCUUCCCCGGCAGAGGAUUAGGACACAAUGGAAUACACUCAACACCAAAACUAUACCAAAUCCACUGUGGGUCGUGGCAAAGUGGAAUAUUUGGAAAAUCCCAACACUAGCCAAAGCCUUGAAUGACCAGAUUCUUAAUCUCCCUGCCUCCUAAAUUUGGGAUAAUUCCUCACUGACAGGAUUGAUGGAGUGAAAGGAGAGACUGAAAUCACUUGUUCUGGGGGAAGCAGCUGCCAUAUCAUGAAGAUGAUCAAGUAGCCAAGUGGAGAGGCCCACGUGGAGAUGAACUGAGGUUUGCUACCAGCAACACAAUCUUGCCAGGACUAUGAGCUAGACACAUUAAAGGCAGAUCUGCCAGCCCCGGUCAGACCUUCAGAUGAUUGCUACCUUGGCCUAUGCCUUGACUGCCACUUUGUGAGAAACCUUAAGCCAGAACCUCCCAACUACACCAAUCCCCAUUCCUGACCCUCAGAUACUGUGUGAGAUAGUCAAGACUUGUUGUCUGAAGCUACUAAAUUGGGAUAAUUUGUUGUCCAGAAUAGAUAACGAAUACAAAGAUACUUCACAACGCACUAAAAUAGAGCUGCUCACUUUAUAGGCUUGCGCCAGGAUUCAUAUGCUAACAUUUAUAGAGCGUUUUAGUUAGACUCAGGCCAAAUGAACUGCAUAUUAGAUAUAAAGCAGCGAUUGCAUAUUAUUAAUGUUAUCAGAUUGCAACACAUUUCAUGUUCAAUUACCUAAAAUGCUCUUUCUGGAGCACCGCUUUGCUCAUCAUCUUAUCCCCACUGCACACUUAUAAAAGGUCACUGUCAAGAUAUAAAAGUAUAUAUAUGAUUUAAACGUCUUGACUCAGUUGCUAACAACCGUGAGCAUGUUUUCAAAUUGGAAAAGCAAGAUUAAUCUAAACUUGCUCUUUUUCACACAAUGUACUUUGUUUACUUUUAGGAUUGCAUUUCACUGCCAAGCCAAGUGUGUCUCUGAUUAAAGAGUGUGUUCACUUCAUCUCUCAUAGUCUCUUACAAGCCUCCCUUUAAGAAUAGAUAUGGCAGACUUUGCACCAAAAAAGCAAACCAUAUUUUUACCAGAAACUAUUUAGUGAAAUGAGUUUUUAUUCAUGAAAACUUCACUAAGUAUAAAUUUCGUGUCUGAAAGUAAUGGGCCCUUUGU